AACAAUGAGGGUGUUGAGUUUCCA
rnacentral:siRNA from 1 species